CAGUCGCCACGGGAACACGAAGGGGGCUAGCGUUGCUCGGAAUCACUGGGCGUAAAGGGUGCGUAGGCGGGUCUUUAAGUCAGGGGUGAAAUCCUGGAGCUCAACUCCAGAACUGCCUUUGAUACUGAAGAUCUUGAGUUCGGGAGAGGUGAGUGGAACUGCGAGUGUAGAGGUGAAAUUCGUGGAUAUUCGGAAGAACACCAGUGGCGAAGGCGGCUCACUGGACCGUUGUUGACGCUGAGGUGCGAAAGCGUGGGGAGCAAACAGGAUUAGAUACCCCGGUAGUCCCUGUCUCUUAUAC
rnacentral:rRNA from 1 species